AACGAACGCUGGCGGCAUGCCUAACACAUGCAAGUCGAACGACACCUUCGUGUCUGCUUGCGCACGCGUGCGUCACGCGUGGGAACCUUCCCUUAGUUUCCGAAUUACUCCCUUACAUGGGUGCUAAUACCGGGUAAUGUCUUCUGACCAAAGAUUGAUCGACUUUGGAUGGGCCCGCGUUGUUUUAGCUUGUUGGUAGGGUAAAAGCCUACGAAGGCGACGAUACAUAGCUGGUCUGAGAGGAUGAUCAGCCACACUGGGACUGAGACACGGUCGAGAAUACUAGGGAAGGGAGGAGAGGGGAAUAUUGGACAAGGGGGGAGAGGAUGAACAAGCAAGGGUGGGUAAGUGAUGAAGGCGGUAGGGAAGUAAAGCUGGUUUACACGGGAUGAUAAUGACAGUACCGGGAGAAUAAGCACCGGCUAACUACGUG
rnacentral:rRNA from 1 species